GAUGAACGCUGGCGGCGUGCCUAAUACAUGCAAGUCGAGCGAACGGACGAGAAGCUUGCUUCUCUGAUGUUAGCGGCGGACGGGUAAGUAACACGUGAAUAACCUACCUAUAAGACUGGGAUAACUUCGGGAAACCGGAGCUAAUACCGGAUAAUAUUUUGAACCGCAUGGUUCAAAAGUGAAAGACGGUCUUGCUGUCACUUAUAGAUGGAUCCGCGCUGCAUUAGCUAGUUGGUAAGGUAACGGCUUACCAAGGCAACGAUGCAUAGCCGACCUGAGAGGGUGAUCGGCCACACUGGAACUGAGACACGGUCCAGACUCCUACGGGAGGCAGCAGUAGGGAAUCUUCCGCAAUGGGCGAAAGCCUGACGGAGCAACGCCGCGUGAGUGAUGAAGGUCUUCGGAUCGUAAAACUCUGUUAUUAGGGAAGAACAUAUGUGUAAGUAACUGUGCACAUCUUGACGGUACCUAAUCAGAAAGCCACGGCUAACUACGUG
rnacentral:rRNA from 1 species